rnacentral:rRNA from 1 species
CCUACGGGCGGCUGCAGUGAGGAAUAUUGGUCAAUGGUCGGAAGACUGAACCAGCCAUGCCGCGUGCAGGAUGACGGCCUUAUGGGUUGUAAACUGCUUUUGUAUGGGAAGAAUAAGGGGUACGUGUACUCUGCUGACGGUACUAUAUGAAUAAGCAUCGGCUAACUCCGUGCCAGCAGCCGCGGUAAUACGGAGGAUGCGAGCGUUUUCCGGAAUCAUUGGGUUUAAAGGGUCUGUAGGCGGGCGAUUAAGUCAGAGGUGAAAGCACUGAGCUCAACUGAGUAACUGCCUUUGAAACUGAUUGUCUGGAAUACUUACGAAGUAGCUGGAAUGUGUAGUGUAGCGGUGAAAUGCUUAGAUAUUACACAGAACACCGAUAGCGAAGGCAUGUUACUAGUAAGGUUAUUGACGCUGAGGGACGAAAGCGUGGGGAGCGAACAGGAUUAGAUACCCUGGUAGUC